rnacentral:rRNA from 1 species
GACGAACGCUGGCGGCGUGCUUAACACAUGCAAGUCGAGCGGUAAGGCCCUUUCGGGGGUACACGAGCGGCGAACGGGUGAGUAACACGUGGGUGACCUGCCCUCAGCUCUGGGAUAAGCCUGGGAAACCGGGUCUAAUACCGGAUAUGACUCCAUGACGCAUGUUGUGGGGUGGAAAGCCUUGUGCGGCUGAGGAUGGGCCCGCGGCCUAUCAGCUUGUUGGUGGGGUGANGGCCUACCAAGGCGACGACGGUAGCCGGCCUGAGAGGGCGACCGGCCACACUGGGACUGAGACACGGCCCAGACUCCUACGGGAGGC